rnacentral:misc_RNA from 1 species
GAAUUCUCCGGUGAGGUAGGAGGGUGUCUGAGCUGAGAAUGGUCCGAGGUACUUGACUCGAUCGGGGCCAUACCAGAGAUCAUUGCUCAUGGUGAACUUGCCGUUGCCGAUGGAGACCAUGUCUCUAAGGGGGUUGGGGCUCGAGCCCCGGCUCUGGCCGAGGAAUGGGGUGGUGCGAACGGUGGCUGCCGUCAGCGUCGCCGCCAUCUCGACUGAGAUGUGGUUGUGUUCUUCUUUGUUGUGGGGGGUGAGG